GGAACAGGGCUUGGCUCUGAGCUUCGGGCUUAUAAGAGAACUGGUGUUGUUACCUGUGGGUGUUGCUAUGGCAGUGAGUGCCCUGCCUGUGCAGCCAGCAGAGUCAUUUCCGGCAGCUCUGUCGUCUUGGGGCUGGGAGGUGGUUUUCUGCCUCUUGCUCACUCACAAACAGGAGGCUCGGUCUCAGCAUGCACCGCAGCUCUCUCGUCCUCACUGCCUUCCUGGGACAACUGCUGGGUGCCGUGGGGCAGACCAUUGUCAGCCAGCAAGAAGGACAGGUCACAGUGCAGGAGAGAAACACCUUCCAGACCACCUGCACAUACCAGGCAGCUAACAUUUAUGGCUUAUUUUGGUACCAGCAGAAGAAAGGCCAAGCUCCCCAGCUGGUCACAUAUCAGGCAGCAGCAGGCUCCAAGCAGAACGGCCGUUUCACCACGUGGCUGAACACCACCGGGAAAUACAGCCUGCUGCGGCUGGCAGAAGUCGAGCUGUCUGACAGCGCCUUGUACCUCUGUGCUGUGCAGGACACCCUGGUGCAGGGAGCUUCCUUGGCCGUGCAACAACCCCAGGGAGGGAGGAGGUGAUGGCUGGUGAGGUCGAACCAUUGGAUGGGCAUGGCACCCACUGUUCGUAGCAGGGCAUGUCUCAGAGAGCUAAGAGGAUUUCUUGACUUGAUCCAGAGAGGAGAGGACACUUUUGUUGUUGGUAUGAUGG